UCGUUCAUGUUGGUAGCACAUACACUAAAAUUAGAACCAUACAGGAAAAUUAGCAUGGCCCCAGUGAAGGGAUGACAUGUAAAUCUGUGUAACAUUCAUAUUUUUG
rnacentral:snRNA from 1 species